rnacentral:lncRNA from 1 species
GGCUGAACCUCGCGUCACCCCGCUGAAGCGCGCGGCCAAGCGCUCCGGCGAGAGAAAGGCCUUUUUUGGUAACACUCAGCCCCGCGCAUCAGGAAUUAAUGGAGGACGUCGUGGAGUCCCUCACCUUGGAUACUGGCUUCUCAAAGCAUUCCUGUGGCGGUUAAUUGUUGCUUCUGGCUGGGUGGCUGGUGAUGCUGGUGACAAGGUGCAGAAUCUCAAGAGCCAGGAAAUUUAGAGGCUUGGAUCAGAUAGUGUGUAGCUAGGCAGCUGCUGCCAGCUAUGCUAAAACCAGGUAGUGAGGUGGGCUGUCAUUAACCUGAGGGUCUACAAGGCAGUCCCAGCAGAUCAGCUCACGGCGAAGAGACUGAGGGGAAAGGCCCCAGUUCAUGCU